GGAGGUCGCUUAGUAAGGAAGGGUAGGGAAAGUGAGGGAACUAUCCAGAUACUCCUCAGUCUCUAGCAGUUGAGGUGAUCCCCGGUUAAGACCAGUGAAGCUUCACUACGUGGAGCAGUUCCGGGAAAUCAGCAGCAACAGUGACCCAUCUUAAGGCUUUCAAUCAGAGAUAAUGUGGGGAGUCAGUAUGUCCUGCACCAGGGAAACUCCACGAGUCUGGCUGCACUGAGUGGAGAGGCAACACCCAAUCUGGAGACACUGAAGAGUCCAGGGAAGAUGGGACUUGAGAUGCCUUAAUCAAUGAUAAUUUCCAAUCACCAGGUGAUGUGACAAUUGUUCAUAUUGGUCAAAACAAGAAUUGUCCUAAAGUCUGGGGCUGAAGUUAAUAAAAGAAGCCAAGAAUGGAUUUUUAGAAUUUGAAUACGCAUUUCAGGCCACUGUUUGUUAAACCUCACUUUUCAGAAAUGAUCUUUCUCUGUGACUUAAAAAGAUUUUUUGGGGGGACUUCCGCCAAGAUGGAGGUGUAGGUGGAAACGCCUUGCGUACUCACACAACCAAAUCUAAAAACAACAAAGUUUUAACAACAACAAACGCAACCAAACCACAUAGAAAAUCGACAAUGCAAAGUCCGAAAACGAGAUGCCAACCUUUUGGUUGGCCAAAAAGAUCCCCAACCAGGGUGGUGCGCAAGCAGCCGAAGGCCCACGCAUUUGCGUGCAGAUAAACCAGUGAAGAGGCGAGCAUUGAAACCUCACA